rnacentral:rRNA from 1 species
GACAGAGGGUGCAAGCGUUGUUCGGAAUUACUGGGCGUAAAGGGCGCGUAGGCGGCCGGAUAAGUCUGACGUGAAAUCCCUCGGCCUAACCGAGGAACUGCGUUUGAAACUGUUCGGCUCGAGUCCGGGAGAGGGUAGUGGAAUUCCCAGUGUAGCGGUGAAAUGCGUAGAUAUUGGGAGGAACACCGGUGGCGAAGGCGGCUACCUGGACCGGUACUGACGCUGAGGCGCGAAAGCCAGGGGAGCAAACAGG